rnacentral:misc_RNA from 1 species
GAUGAAGAACGCAGCGAAAUGCGAUACGUAAUGUGAAUUGCAAAUUCAGUGAAUCAUCGAGUCUUUGAACGCACAUUGCGCCCCCUGGUAUUCCGGGGGCAUGCCUGUCCGAGCGUCAUUGCUGCCCUCAAGCACGGCUUGUGUGUUGGGCCCCGUCCUCCGAUCCCGGGGGACGGGCCCGAAAGGCAGCGGCGGCACCGCGUCCGGUCCUCGAGCGUAUGGGGCUUUGUCACCCGCUCUGUAGGCCCGGCCUGCGCUUGCCGAUCAACCCAAAUUUUUAUCCAGGUUGACCUCGGAUCAGGUAGGGAUACCCGCUGAACUUAAGCAUAUCAAUAAGCGGAGGA